rnacentral:rRNA from 1 species
AGUGAACGCUGGCGGUAGGCCUAACACAUGCAAGUCGAACGGCAGCACAGUAAGAGCUUGCUCUUACGGGUGGCGAGUGGCGGACGGGUGAGGAAUACAUCGGAAUCUACUUUUUCGUGGGGGAUAACGUAGGGAAACUUACGCUAAUACCGCAUACGACCUACGGGUGAAAGCAGGGGAUCUUCGGACCUUGCGCGAUUGAAUGAGCCGAUGUCGGAUUAGUUAGUUGGCGGGGUAAAGGCCCACCAAGGCGACGAUCCGUAGCUGGUCUGAGAGGAUGAUCAGCCACACUGGAACUGAGACACGGUCCAGACUCCUACGGGAGGCAGCAGUGGGGAAUAUUGGACAAUGGGCGCAAGCCUGAUCCAGCCAUACCGCGUGGGUGAAGAAGGCCUUCGGGUUGUAAAGCCCUUUUGUUGGGAAAGAAAAGCAGCAGGUUAAUACCCCGCUGUUCUGACGGUACCCAAAGAGUAAGCACCGGCUAACUUCGUG